rnacentral:tRNA from 1 species
GAGGCCGAGGUCAUCGGCCCGGUGGCGCUGCGUCUGGCGCACGCGGUGCCGGUCGAUCGUCUGCCCGGCUUCGCC